GACGAACGCUGGCGGCGUGCUUAACACAUGCAAGUCGAACGGAAAGGCUCCAGCUUGCUGGAGUACUCGAGUGGCGAACGGGUGAGUAACACGUGGGCAAUCUGCCCUGCACUCUGGGAUAAGCCUGGGAAACUGGGUCUAAUACUGGAUAGGACCUUUCUCCUCAUGGGGUUUGGUGGAAAGUUUUUCGGUGCAGAAUGAGCCCGCGGCCUAUCAGCUUGUUGGUGGGGUAAUGGCCUACCAAGGCGACGACGGGUAGCCGGCCUGAGAGGGUGAUCGGCCACAUUGGGACUGAGAUACGGCCCAGACUCCUACGGGAGGCAGCAGUGGGGAAUAUUGCACAAUGGGCGGAAGCCUGAUGCAGCGACGCCGCGUGAGGGAUGACGGCCUUCGGGUUGUAAACCUCUUUCAGUAGGGACGAAGCGUAAGUGACGGUACCUGCAGAAGAAGCACCGGCUAACUACGUGCCAGCAGCCGCGGUAAUACGUAGGGUGCGAGCGUUGUCCGGAAUUACUGGGCGUAAAGAGCUCGUAGGCGGUUUGUCACGUCGUCUGUGAAAUCCUAGGGCUUAACCCUGGACGUGCAGGCGAUACGGGCUGACUUGAGUACUACAGGGGAGACUGGAAUUUCUGGUGUAGCGGUGGAAUGCACAGAUAUCAGGAAGAACACCGAUGGCGAAGGCAGGUCUCUGGGUAGUAACUGACGCUGAGGAGCGAAAGCAUGGGUAGCGAACAGG
rnacentral:rRNA from 1 species